CGCGUCUAAUUCAAUAAGCAAACGGUCGAUUGCUGCGAUCACAGCCGAUAAUUAAUGCAAUCAGAAGCAAUUUUGCGCGCAAUUCCGUUCCCGCUCCCGCGAUUUUGUCUUCGGUGGAAGGGCGGAAUUGAGGACAAACGAGACAAGGGAACAAACCGAGUUCAAGGGGAAGGGGCGAAACUCGGAUUCCCGGGGAAAAACAGACACAGAAGCCGGUAGUGGAGUGGUGUCACAGGAUUAAAUCUCUGACGAUCGACCUGUACCUAAUGAAAUUUACUGCCUUGUAUUUCCUUAAUUACAACUUACUAUCACGCUAUUGUCCGUGAAUAAUGAAUUCCUCGUGCGAAAGAACACAACAUUUCAAUCUUUAAUACAGUUGUAAUUAUUUCAAGUAAAUAUUUAUCGAGAGCAAACUCACGUUCACCGCAUCUACGCCGGCUCGGUGCAGAAGAAAUGUCCUAAAUCCCUAUGUGUAACAUAAAGAGAAACGAUACCAUGGAAGGUGGAAUGUAGAGCAAUCUUCGUGGCUCGUGUUGUGGAGGAAAACGAUACUUCUAGUCACAUCUGGAAAUGCGUUGUACGGCUUCGCGUUUCGAACAGAUUCUGUCUUUCGAUUCUCUCACUCCAUCUCACUAUAGAGCUCCAUCUGUACAAUUCGAAUUUAGAGCUUUUUGACUCAGUGGAAUCGAAGUAAAAUUGUAUUAGUUCGUUAGAUGUUCGAAUUGUACCAUGUGGAUGAAUAUAAUCUACGUAUGUAUAUUGCACGCGAACUUUUUCAAUUAAAAAUGAUCACCAUUGUAAAUUAUGGUAGUACAAAUCGAGAUAUUGGGAAAAUAUGGAACCAUGCAUCGUCGAUUUGACGAGUACGUUUAUGUGACACUUGUUACUUAUUAGUUGAUAAGUGGCAGGUCUUUAAAAUGGAAAUGGCAUAGUUGGUCAAAUGACGAAGGAUUUAAUUUAAAAUAUAUCUAACUGUUGCUGGGUGAUAUUAUUUACGCUCAGACAUUAUGAUUGGUUAUCAAACUUGAAAUAUGUCAGGAUGCAGGUUUUCUCGUUGUUGGACUAGCUUCAUAGAGCUGAUUUUCCGAUGGAAUUUUGAGGAAUGAAUUUUUUGAUUAGCGGAAGAGGUGAUAUGCAAAUACUGAUACUUGAAUACUGAACCAAUACUGAUACUUGAAAAAACGACAAUUUCCAAUUGACCUAUAUUGUUCGUCGUGGUGUCAAGCAGUACGUUCGUCAGAAUUUUAUUUCGCGUCGUCGUCAACUUUAAGGAAACAUCGCGUGAGCUAUAACCGUGGCUCGCGGUGACACGAGCACGCUUAUAGCGAA